rnacentral:rRNA from 1 species
GUCACUGCUAUCGGGGUUCGAUUAAGCCAUGCGAGUUGAGAGGGUUAAGACCCUCAGCGGACUGCUCAGUAACACGUGGAUAACCUGCCCUAUGGUGGAGCAUAACCCCGGGAAACUGGGGAUAAUACUCCAUAGAUUAGAGAUACUGGAAUGUUCUUUAGUCGAAAGUUGAGGCGCCAUAGGAUGGAUCUGCGGUCGAUUAGGUUGUUGUUGGGGUAACGGCCCAACAAGCCUGUAAUCGAUACGGGUUGUGGGAGCAAGAGCCCGGAGAUGGAAUCUGAGACACGAUUCCAGGCCCUACGGGGCGCAGCAGGCGCGAAAACUUUACAAUGCAGGAAACUGUGUUAAGGGAACCCCGAGUGCCCGUAUACGCGGGCUGUCCAGGUGUCUAAAAAGCAUCUGAAGAAAGGGCCGGGCAAGACCGGUGCCAGCCGCCGCGGUAAUACCGGCGGCUCGAGUGGUGGCCACUAUUAUUGGGCUUAAAGCGUCCGUAGCUGGACUCUUAAGUCUCUUGGGAAAUCCGCCGGCUUAACCGACGGCGUCUAAGAGAUACUGGGAGUYUAGGGACCGGGAGAGGUGAGAGGAACUYCGGGGGUAGGAGUGAAAUCCUGUAAUCCCCGGGGGACCACCGAUGGGGAAGGSAUUUUACCAGAACGGGUYCGACAGUGAGGGACGAAAGCUGGGGGAGCGRACCGGAUUAGAUACCCGGGUAGUCCCAGCCGUAAACUAUGCGCGUUAGGUGUAMUGGUGACCACGAGUNAAUGGGGUGCCGRAGGGAAACCGUGAAACGKGCCGCCUGGGAAGUACGGUUGCAAGGCUGAAAAUUAAAGGRAUUGGCGGGGGAGCACCACAACGGGUGGAGCCUGCGGUUUAAUUGGAAUUAAAGCCGGAAAUMUUACCGGAUAAGACAGCGGAAUGAUAACCGGGCUGGAGAMUUUGUUUGACCAGCUGAGAGGAGGUGCAUGGCCGUUGUCAGUUUGUACUGUGAAGCAUCCUGUUAUAGUCAGG